rnacentral:lncRNA from 1 species
UAAAGAGUGAGAGGGAGAGAGUUGGGGCGAGAUAGAGAUAGAGAGAGAGAGAGAGAGAGUGACGGAUAUCUCAAGAGGCAGGUGAUAUCCUUCCGGGUUCAACUAAAAUCAAGCAAAAACCAUCGUUAGGAGGAACGAGGAGCCAAGGUACAGCACCAGAAUCAAUCUGAUGAACACAAUGAGCUGAAGAAAGACAUAGGAAAUGAAGGAGCAGGAUAAGUACACGACCCAGAAGUACAGGAUGAGCUCCACCAGAUCCAUGGCCUUCCAGCAUCAUCUUCUUUAACCUCUUCCCAGACCAAUGGGCCUCUUCCAACAAGAACUCUCCAGCGUAGCCUCCCCGAUGCCUGCGGUUUGAUACAAUUUAUGUAAUUCUUCGACGAAAAUGUUGGAAAAUAAUGAAGUUGGAAUAAAUUUUAAUUGGGCUUUGAUUCGACAUGGAAUACGAUGGAAAUAUUCUCCUGAUUGAAAACAUGAAAUGUGAUGCAGAAAGCUACAGCGCGCACACGGACACAGGAAGGAAGGGGCUUCAGAUUUGAGAGGCGUUGGGAAACACGUUGGCCAUCGCAUUGCGGGCUGCACGGAUCAAUCGCCAAGCAGACAGCGUUGCUCGACCCCAGGUUGGGCCUGGAGAGGAUGUUUCGAUUCAGAUAACACGUGUUCAUCGUCAAGAGAGGCGCCGCUCUCAACCACCCGUUCGAAAAUAUCUCAGGCGACGGACUCAUUACUUUUAAGACACAAUUUCACCUAUUGCGUCUUAGAUUGUUACACCCCAUUUACAUCCGGUUCUUUCCGUGUUUGUGUCAUUUCGGUGACGGGUGGCAUGGGAAAUAUUGGGCACUAAAAAGUUUGGUUCGCAAGAAUUCUAGGUCCUAUUUAACUCCUCU